UACGAAGGGUGCAAGCGUUACUCGGAAUUACUGGGCGUAAAGCGUGCGUAGGUGGUUCGUUAAGUCUGUCGUGAAAUCCCCGGGCUCAACCUGGGAAUGGCAGUGGAUACUGGAUAGCUAGAGUGUGAUAGAGGAUGGUGGAAUUCCCGGUGUAGCGGUGAAAUGCGUAGAGAUCGGGAGGAACAUCAGUGGCGAAGGCGGCCAUCUGGAUCAACACUGACGCUGAGGCACGAAAGCGUGGGGAGCAAACAGG
rnacentral:rRNA from 1 species